UACGUAGGGUGCGAGCGUUGUCCGGAAUUAUUGGGCGUAAAGGGCUCGUAGGCGGUUUGCCGCGUCGGGAGUGAAAACUCAGGGCUUAACCCUGAGCCUGCUUCCGAUACGGGCAGACUAGAGGUAUGCAGGGGAGAACGGAAUUCCUGGUGUAGCGGUGAAAUGCGCAGAUAUCAGGAGGAACACCGGUGGCGAAGGCGGUUCUCUGGGCAGUUACCUGACGCUGAGGAGCGAAAGUGUGGGGAGCGAACAGG
rnacentral:rRNA from 1 species